GGGAAGCCCAAGAAGGUGCAGCUAGAGCUGUACACACUGUGGAGAGCAAGAAGAGUCCUGCAGGGCUGGAGCUCAAGAAACAGGAAAGAGGUGUCAAGUGAGCCAUGAAGAUGACACCAGGAGCCUGAGAUUUGCAGUGUUUCCAACCCAGUGAAAAGCAGAAUGUGUAAGAAAUCUUGUUCCUGUGGGCUUUUCGGCAGAGUUUCUAGGCCAAAGAUGUGCAGCCUCUUCUGAAGCAUGUGACACUGACCACUUUCAGAGACAAGAUGGUGGACUAGGUGGAUCAAGAGUCUGAUCCAGUAUGGCAAUUCCUAUGUUCCUAAGACAUAGUCCUGCCCCAGAAUAGCUGACUGCAUGAGGCCCUGAUGUUCCGGCAAGCUGAUCCAUGGAGGUGAAUCCCUGCCCCUCUGCUGAGCCCCAUUAUAGUAAGCAAACAUUUUAAGUGAUCAAAUUUUAAUAGUGAAAAAUUAAUGUUCUUUCCUGGAAACCAUGGGAAACUGAAGUCAAGCUGAGAAAUACCACCAUUUACCCAGCAUUCUUGUGAGCCUGUGAAGAAAAUGACGCACUGUGGUUUCGCACAAUUUGUAAAAUCUACCCCUCUUUUUCAUGUGGGAACUUGGGGUCCAGUGCUGAUCUGACUGAAGUCAAUGGCAGUUUUGAGUGUGACUAGAGUCUUAACUUGAUCCAAGAAGACCAGCAACCUAAACCACUGAUUCAGAAAGGGGGGAAUUAUUGCCUGUUCUGUACUUUCUAAGGACUUGCAUGAAGAACUAUUGAAAAUAAAGGAGUUUGUCAAUGGAGGGCAGGCAU